CUUAUAAAUGGUGGGGAAUGACUGUCUUUGUUAUGUUCUUUGCUUAUUCAUAAAUUAAAAAGUAGGACUUCUAUGACAUUUCAUGGGUCCCUGAGAAGGUGAAGUCUUCCCAGGCAUUUUGUGAUUGACGAUAAUAAUGAGAGAGAGCGAGAGACCAUGCCGUAACUGAUGAUACAAUCCCAUGCUGUGGAACCAUGUGACUUGCUCAUGAAAACAGAAAAGAGACGUGAGGAGCAGGCGUUUGGAUGCUACAGUGAUGAAGAUGAGGGCUUCUAGGUAUUUGGACACCAAGACCUGCCCAACAAGGUUUCACACCAUCACACAGCCAACCAGUUUUGAAAGGUAAAAGACUGCUGCCUUCAUUUUGAGUAACCAGUAGACUUGCAGUGGG
rnacentral:lncRNA from 1 species